GCAUCCUCCAUCCAUGAGUUCUCUUCCUCUUUUGGUUUUUCAGCAUGCUUACUCUAUAAUUCGCGAUAAGCAGACAAAAACUUUGUAUGCACAAACUACUGAUUUAGCAAUCAGCAGAACAUGUGAUGUUUUGGUUCACAAGUAGGAGUUGGAUCACAAUCAAACAAAACCUAAACUUUUUGCAUGGAUCAGAUUUGAGCCCUGACCUACAAGUAGAUCAUGCUUCUGUGGUACAUGGAGUGUGUGCGUUUAGGAAUUCUCUUCUGACCAUGGCAGUUUUUGUGUGACAUAUCAGAGGGCCUCAUUGACUGAUCCAUCUCUUUAGUCCCAUGUGCUUCACAUAGCCUCUUCAUGAUUUGCUUCCCCGAAGCGUAAGCUAGAAACCAAGUGUGAUACCAAGGGAUCAUGAGAUGUUGCACUGAUCUGGUUCCACAGCCAUGGAAUGGGUCAAAGGGAAUCAUAGAGGCCUUGUAAUUAAGAUAUGGUGGUCCUUUUGUUCGCUCUAGAGAAAUAAAGACAAGUAGCAUUACUGUGGCCACACAAAGACAUGCUUAACUUGUUUCUUAUUCUUCUGUGUAGCAUGCAUAGUUAACCUCUUGGGAAGGAAUACACACAAUUUCAUGUUCCAUGCGUUCUACAAGUCUUUUUGGUGCAUGUGUGCAUCAUGCACACAAGAAUAUUUGCAUUAAUCUGGAAAUAUAUAUAUAUGUUAUCCUCUCAUGACCAGCAUCCGAUGUGAGAUUACUUGGAAUAUUGCAAUGGCUUUCUAAAUGCUGCUCUUUUACCGAGUCAAAAAGGAACGAAUGAGAGAAGCCUACAUGUUCUGGUGACUGAGAAAUAUGAGCUAGUGGAUGGGAAAUUGAGUAGCUCGUCCGUGAUAGCAAGCAAUUUCCCUUUUUCUUCCUUUUUUAGGCUCAAAGAGAGAUGCUGCAAGCGUUCAAGCUUGUCCUCUUUGGAUCUCAACAUCAGCCACCUGAAACAAAACAGGGUUUGUGACCGUCAAGAUUGGGACAAGCCAUGGUGGUGAUGCUGCAAGUCUCUUAGAACCCUGGACUGCACGCUGUUCGCCAAUAUGCCUAGAAAAAGUAGGAUCACACAAAAAGCUCAUGCACGUAAUGGAUUCUGGCCAAUAACUCUUUUGUUAGGACAAUUGUGAGUGAGAAAUAUUUAUUUAUUUAUUUAUGAAUUAUGCUGCUGCUAUCAGAACACAUUCUGAUAGGAAGCUGGAUCACGGGGGUAAUGAGUGGUUUGGUUGAUUGGUUCCUGGAGGAAGGAUGCCGUAAGAACGCGCUCUCUCUCUCUCUCUCUCUCUCUCUCUGGAUCUUUACACUUUUCCCUUUACAUCAGAAAAAGUGCAGAGAGGAGAAAAAAAAUCUGGAGCUAGCUGACUUCAAGGAUGGCAUUCAGCUGAGGUAAGGUCUGAGCAUUUACUUACCCGAGAAGCUUGAUUCACGUGCCUUUCCUAUGAAAAGGAUCCCUUGGAAGUUACAUAAAGCACCUCAGCCGCAAUCCCAGCCUGCGGAGGGCUCGCAUUGCUUUGGCACUGUGAUCAUAACUCUGCUGCUGUUGCUGCUGCUGCUGCUAGCAAGUGUUACACUUGCACAGUGUAUCAACACCAGCUCAUGUACUUGAGAGUCGGGAUAACUUGUUGCACGAUAGCGACUAGACAAACAUCCAUUUGAGCUCAUGAUUGUUCUAAUACCGUCGGAAGCUUUGAUUGGAUCCA